rnacentral:rRNA from 1 species
GACGAACGCUGGCGGCGUGCUUAACACAUGCAAGUCGAACGGAAAGGCCCUGCUUGCAGGGUACUCGAGUGGCGAACGGGUGAGUAACAUGUGGUUGGUCUGCCCUGCACUCUGGGAUAAGCCUGGUAAACUGGGUUAAGUACUGGUUAGGAGCGAUUUAUAGCGUGAUGGUUGGCAAGCUUUUUCGGUGUAGGAUGAGCUCGCGGCGUAUCAGCUUGUUGGUGGGGUAAUGGCAUACCAAGGCGGCGACGGGGAGCCGGCGUGCGAGGGUGGACGGCCACAGUGGGACUGGGAUACGGACCAGACUCCGACGGGUGGCAGCAGUGGGGAAUGUGGAUAAAGGGGCGCGAGCCUGAUGCAGCGACGCCGAGUGGGGGUUGGCGACGUUCGGGUUGGAAUCGCCAUGCGCUAUGGACGAAGCUGUUUGUGACGGUACCGGGAGAAGAAGCCCCGGCUAACUACGUG